rnacentral:rRNA from 1 species
GACGAACGCUGGCGGCGUGCUUAACACAUGCAAGUCGAACGGUGAAGCGCCUUCCUUUUUGGUGGGUGUGGAUGAGUGGCGAACGGGUGAGUAACACGUGAGUAACCUGCCCCCUUCUUCUGGAUAACCGCAUGAAAGUGUGGCUAAUACGGGAUAUUCUGGGUCUGUCGCAUGAUGGGUCUGGGAAAGAUAUUGUUUCGGUGGGGGAUGGGCUCGCGGCCUAUCAGCUUGUUGGUGGGGUGAUGGCCUACCAAGGCGGUGACGGGUAGCCGGCCUGAGAGGGUGGACGGUCCACCUGGGACGGGGAACCGGCCCGGCCUCCAACGGGAGGCGCCGGUGGGAAUAUUGCACAAUGGGCGCAAGCCUGAUGCAGCGACGCCGCGUGAGGGAUGGAGGCCUUCGGGUUGUGAACCUCUUUCGCCAGUGAAGCAGGCCUGCCUCGUUUGUGGGUGGGUUGACGGUAGCUGGAUAAGAAGCGCCGGCUAACUACGUG